AAUAGAUACCCUGGUAGUCCUUGCCGUAAACUAUGUAUACUUGGUGUAACUGGACUCAACCCUAGUUGUGCCGUAGCUAACGCGUUAAGUAUACCGCCUGGGGAGUACAGUCGCAAGGCUGAAACUCAAAAGAAUUGACGGGGACCCGCACAAGCAGUGGAGCAUGUGGUUUAAUUCGAUGCAACGCGAAGAACCUUACCCAGAUUUGACAUGCAGAUGAAUGAGGUAGAAAUAUCUAGGUCCUUCGGGACAUCUGCACAGGUGCUGCAUGGCUGUCGUCAGCUCGUGCCGUGAGGUGUUUGGUUAAGUCCAGCAACGAGCGCAACCCUUAUCACUAGUUGCCAACACGCGAGGUGGGAACUCGUAGUGAGACUGCCUGGGUUAACCAGGAGGAAGGUGAGGGAUGACGUCAAGUCCGCAUGGCCCUUAUAUCUGGGGGCUACACACGUGCUACAAUGGUCGGUACAGAAGGCAGCGAAACCGUGAGGUGAAGCAAAUCCAAAAAACCCGAUCCCAGUUCAGAUUG
rnacentral:rRNA from 1 species